GAAGGAAGCAGCAUCGCACUCCAGAACUCCUGCUUGACACACAGCUGGACUCACACCUUGCUAAAUUCCGGCACCAGCCACAAGCCUUGGGGGAGCUGAAGGGAAUGAAACUGCUGGCUGCCUGCUUCAUGUACCUGCUGCUCACCUGUCUGGCCCUGCCCAAAGCCGAAUGCCGACUCCACGAGCGAUCCAUGGAAAUCAGGAGCCGUUCUCCCCAGCAAGGCCUACAAAGGGCCGACAGACGGAGUUUCCUGGCCCAGCCGCGUUGCAGAUUCCAUGAGCCAGGAAAAGUCUAGAGGAACUUUCCAGACAGCAGAACUCAAAAACUUGCAGUUUUUAAUCAGCCUGUCCAGCAAAUCUCUUCCUACAACGUGUGUCACGGCAGCACCCGGUGGCACCCGACGCAAUCAGGCCGCUCUGUGCUAAGCGCCAGGCACACCCCUGGCAGUAACAGCCCUUCCUGAAGGAGUUUGCAAUAUAAACACACAAGACACAGGGGCGGUGACUUU